CAACUCUAGUGCCUCACAUUGGUGGAAGGGCUUGGUCAGGGAGUUUUACGUGUAUUUUGAAGAAGGAUUCUAUUGGACACAGCUGUGACCUAGCCUGCUCCUGUGACAUGCAGCAUCUUGGCUUCCCAUGCCACUAUACUGAGAAUGAUUAACCCCGGAGGUCUGGGUCUUGAUGCUGUUGUACACUCACCGUUCUCAUGGCAAAGAGAACAACACACCAGUGGCAAGAUAGAUAGCUUUGGCCGUGUAUAAUAUGGUGUGAAUUCUGUGCUCUUA